AGUGGCCACCUCAGUCCAUGAAAUGAGUGAUUCUGGGGGCACAGCAGCAAUGCAGAGAUGGGCUGAAUCUAGAUCUGUUCAUCUUGCACCCUCCAAGGCAAACACAGCCCAUUAGAGCUGUCCAUCUUCCAGCAGAUAGAGACUGCAGAUGAAUAUGUGGCAUCUCCCUGGGGAGAAGACUGUUCAUAGCCAGAGAGUGAGAUGGAUGCUUGUAGCCCUGGAGGUCUACAAAGGGGUCCGGACAGAAACAGACACUGACUUUGGACUGGGCUUUUCUUACUUGGUGGUAGAUACAAAUGCUCAGAGUGCUGGAAAAGAAGCAGAACAGAAGAAACUGCACCCAUUUGGAUGGCCAGCUGUCACUUCUUCAGACAAGGAACACACUUUACAGCCCAUGUCCAGCAAUGGGUGGAGAGACAUCCUCCCCAGAGUACUGGUUUGCUAGAGAACUGGAGUGGGCAAUUAAAACAUUGGUUGUCUAAAAUGGGAAGAGGGGAAUAAAGGCAUGAAAAAGGCUUACACACCUUCAUGAGUGUGUGCGCGCUCUCAACAUGGGUGGAGUUAAUGGAGUGCCCCCACUGGAUGGAGUCCGCUGUUUUCUUGGUGGAUCGGGUGGAAAGGGGGUGGGGAAGGAUGCUAGUGUGACUGCAGUUCAUGUCAAGGGGACAGGGUGAUGGUGUUAUAACUGCAUUUUUCCUUUUUUCCCCAGCGUCACUUAAGGUUUUUAAAAAAUACGAUACGUUGAUUAGAGGACCAGAGCUGUGACUACAAAUGCUGGGAGCAGGGAUGAUUGGUCCCAGGUGAUGCUGAUGGCCGUGGUCCAGAGUCCACACUGGGAACGUCUGUACUGUUCUACUGACUUUUCCACAUGAGGACUGAGUCCAGCAAAUGGGCUUUUGGAAAAACUCCAUGUGCAUAGCCCCCUGCUGGGACUCUUGACUACAAAUGACAGAAAACCCAAAUUCAAACUGGCUUAAAGCAAAAAAGAUAUAUUUAUAGACUCAUCUAACUGAAACAGCUGCUGGUGUUAUGUUAGUAUUCAAUGCCAACAUGCCCGCUGCAAAAAAUUGUAAGUAA